rnacentral:rRNA from 1 species
CUACCCAUAGUAUAGCGGAGAGGCAUCUCUCUGUUAUUAAAGUAUUUAUCACUUGAAGAUGGCUGUGCGGCUGAUUAGGUAGUUGGCGGGUAACGCCACCAAGCCUGCGAUCAGUAACUGGUGUGAGAGCACGACCAGUCACACGGGCACUGAGACACGGGCCCGACUCCUACGGGAGGCAGCAGUAAGGAAUAUUGGUCAAUGGACGAAAGUCUGAACCAGCCAUGCCGCGUGGAGGAUGAAGGUCCUCUGGAUUGUAAACUUCUUUUAUAUGGGACGAAAAAAGGUCUUUCUAGAUCGUCUGACGGUACCAUAUGAAUAAGCACCGGCUAACUCCGUG